CUGCCUUUGGAUUCAGUUCAUAUUACUUGAACUAGCUGAAAGACAAUGGACAGGCUUGCCCACAUCUAGCAUGAGUCUGGAAUACUGAUGAGAAGAUUUAACUGGACGUUUGGAUCAGUAACGAGCACUGCGGAGAACAUUUUGAGGAUAUAACAAGCAGCACCAAAUUCCAGACUCAUUCUGCCUUUUUUCCAAAAGAUCCUGCGUUUCACUACUAUCAUCAAGGUACUCAGCUGUGCCAUCAAUGGACACUCCAGGAAAUCAAACUCAUCUUCCGAGGGGCCAGUUACCACUCUGGGUCUCUGUCACUAGUAUCCCACAUUCAGCUGACACCACCGUAGUUGUGCUGGGUGUCAUGACCUUCCUGCUGCAGCUGUCCGUCAUUACCUUCUUCCUGUACAAAGCCUGGAGAGCUGACAAGAGGAAAAUGGAAUCGAUUCCUCACAGCAGACAUUCAGACGGAAAAUGCCCCCACAGCAUUCCUGCUGAAAGUAAGAGCCAGGCUUUAACUGGAAAACUCUCCCAGUCCCACAGUGGAGAUGAAGAGGCUGAAAUAUUUUCUGCCCCUUCCAGUCCUCUGUCUCAUUACUGGAAUGUGCUGCAGUAUCACUGUGAUGUUUAUUACUCAGAGACGUUUCGCUGAGCCAUCCAGUCCUCCUGUGAUCUCAAACUCGGCAGCACCAGAAGGAACAGAAGGGUGCCCACAUGCAUUCCAGUUGAAAGUACAACAGAGGGUUUCUAACUGCCUGCGACAAUGUGAAACGGUGUGAAAGGAUUCUGCACAGAACACACAAACUUCUGAGUAAUCUCAUGAAUGCUGAGUCAAUGAGGGUAUUCAGUCUGAUCCAGGAUCAGAUGCUGAAUGCGGUCCUUGGAUCAUUUAACAUCUAACAAAGACAGAGAAUGUGAUCUGAAUCCUCUGUUUUGUCAUUUAAAGUUGUUUACCAUGUUCGCCAUAAAAUAUGUUUAUAAUA